GCUGAGAUAUUUGAGUUGACACCAUCGUUGAGAGUUGUUGAAGUGAAGAAGAAAGGAGGAGAUAGCUUGGAGUAUGAGGAGUUUUACAACAGGGAAUUGAAGCCAGGAUUACAGAAUUUAGCACAUGAAGUUGGAUACCCUGUUAAUUCAUCGUAUUUGCCAUCAGAUACUGAAUAAAGAGAGAGAAGGGGAAAGGGUAACUGCGGACAUCUUAGGGACCAGUUGGAGGCUUCUUGCACUCAAACGGAGAUCUCCUGAAUACCAAAAAGAAGGAACACAUGCCAAGCUAGACUGAUGGAGCUUCAUGCUAGUGAACCUUGACAUGAGUUGAUGUUCGUAAUCAAGAUUUCACCACUUCAAUUCUAGCCAGCGAGGAACAUGGUUCGUAGUCUAAUUGUAUAUUAGUAGCCCCGUCAACAAGGCCCCUCCAGUGCGGGUUAGUUGAUGUAGUAGUACUUACUCAGAAAUUUGAAAAUGGCACAAGGAAUUGUCAUAGUCCAGUUUUAAAAUAUCAAAAAUAAAAAUAAAAAUUGCAAUAAUGUAUUUGGACCAUAGAAAAAAGAAUUAAGAAUAAAUCUGGACCACUGUGUAGUGAAUGAUUGAAAUUUGAAAGCUUUGUUUGUUGUCGUU
rnacentral:misc_RNA from 1 species